AGAUUGAACGCUGGCGGCAGGCCUAACACAUGCAAGUCGAGCGGUAGAGAGGUGCUUGCACCUCUUGAGAGCGGCGGACGGGUGAGUAAUGCCUAGGAAUCUGCCUAGUGGUGGGGGAUAACGUUCGGAAACGGACGCUAAUACCACAUACGUCCUACGGGAGAAAGCGGGGGACCUUCGGGCCUCGCGCCAUUAGAUGAGCCUAGGUCGGAUUAGCUAGGUUGGUGAGGUAAUGGCUCACCAAGGCGACGAUCCGUAACUGGUCUGAGAGGAUGAUCAGUCACACUGGAACUGAGUACACGGUCCAGACUCCUA
rnacentral:rRNA from 1 species